AUGUUGAAAAGAGUAUUUGGGUUAGUUUGAUUUCGAUUAAGAGUGGAAGUCUCUAGUAUGAUGAUAUAAUGUGAACGUGUUUUAAUAAAUAAAUUGGAUGUGAAGUUCAUGGGCAAGAGAUUCAUUAGACCGAUUAAAUUGAUAGGUGGCAUUUCGUAAGGUUUGGAAAUUCGUGUAGUAAAACGUUUAAGACAUGAUUAAGAAUCUCGUGUAUAUGGUUUAUGUGAAAUAUAUAAUGGAAUAAGGAAUACGUUUGAUAAAAUAUUAAAUUUUGAAAGUCGCAUAAGUAGUGAUUUGAUUAAUGACAAGCAAUUUAGGUAUAAAAUAUGAUCGAGUUUGCAUAAUAAGAUAUUUGGAAGAGACGUUUUGGUAACGAUCACCUAGGUAAGGGAAUCACCCCUAACUCGUUGGUGAGGUCGUUUUAAGAAAAGGGGAGUGGAGUUAAUCGUCAAGGUAAGGUAAUCACUCCUAUCUCGAUGAUAUGUCCUCACUCGUUAUUACAAGGAAUAUGAAUUUAAACUAUAUGAAAUCAUGUGUAUGUAUAAAUGUAUGGAAAGAUUCAAUAUGAUGUGUGUGUGAGAAAAAAAAACGUCGAAGGUAAAUUCGAAUUUGAAAGAUUGCGUCGUAUAAAUAAAUAGUAGAGCACAUGCUUGAUUAAAAUUUUGGAUGGUUCCAAACGGAACUUUGACUAACCAAAGUGGUCGAAAAGUCUUUCGAGUUUGAGGAGCAUGCUUUGGCCUAAUAGGUGAAAUACUCUCGCCGACAAGUCGGUUAACGGUAUUUACCCUUCCGGUUACUACAUGUCACAAAUCGAUCGAAAUCUCGAGACUUGGCGGGAUCUAUGAAAACAAAAGAUCGAGGAAUGGAACUGGUCGACAAGGUGCGGGUUUCACCCCUAACUUGACGAUUUCGUAUCCCAAGUGUGGUUGGUACUUGUCGGGUCAAAAGUUAAUUCAACCCUUUGACGAGGGUCCACUAGAAUUUGAAAUUUGAAUUUCUCCAUCAAGGUGAGGAUUUCACUCCUAACUUGAUAGUGAAUUUCGUGUAAGAAAAGAAAAGUAGAAGGAUUGAGAGUCAUUCACCAAAUUGUGGGUUUCACGCCUAUUUUGGUGAAGUCGUCUUAUUUAUGUAUUAUGAGUGUUUUCGGAUUUAGAAAUAUCGAGUAAAAUGCAUGAGGGAAAGAGUAUGUUAAGGGAAUAAACAAACAAAUAUAAACGCACAAUGAAGCAUAUCAAGAAUAGCACAUAAUGAGUAGGACAAUAAAACAUGUAUUAGCACAUAAUAAAGCAAGUAUAGCAUGUCAAGUGUUAACACAUAAGCGACAUAUAUGCUUAAAAGAUCAAAAGAGAAUAAAUAAGAGCAAAUAAGGUAGCAUGCAAGUAGUUUCAAGUAACACAUAAGAAUAAAGCUCUAAAACUAUAGACUAGGUUAAAGCAUUCCUACUUUUCCUAAUUCCCUAUAGUUAUGGCUCUGAUACCAAUCUGUCACACCCCAACCAAUGGCGGAAACAUCGGGAUGAGACGAAGUGUGAAGAUUGCUCGAGACAUCAUAACACUAAUAAUUGUGACAAGUAUUUAAAUAAUCAUUUCAUUCCAUUUCUAAAGAAUCAAUUACAAGGUUUUGAAACAGAAUACAACAACAUGAGUAAUGAAAUAAUACAAUAUGAAUACAAAUUUUUAAGUGUGUAUCUAAACAUCCUACUAGAUUCCAUGCAUCGUCAACAUCCACCUGUAACAUGUUAAAAUAAAGUCAAUGCAAAAGCAAAGGCGAGUAUACAAGUUUGGUACGUACAUAGCAUAAGAUAAAAAGUGUGAACAAUUCCUCAUGGCAAGCAUAUGAUUCAAGAUAAACAUUAAAUAUGGCAUGUGUCUAACAUAUCAAACCAAGAAAACGCAAUAUGCUCAAGACAUAACCUCAAGUUUACGGGCGGGUCGUUAAUCCUAUAGCGCUACAUAUGUCAAGGUUUGGCUCGUACGAAGUUAAUGAUAAGUUCAACACAUAAGAAUAACCCAAGUUUAAAGUAUCAAGUCAUCACGUAUACAAGCAUGUUAUAGGAACGUUCAUGUGUUUAACAAAGUGUUCAUGUGUAAGUUUUUCAAUAGGUAAACAUGUUACACCCCAAAAAGUGGUAAAAGUAAAAAGGGGAAUAGUACGAGUAUACUCACAUUGGUUGCGUAUAAGAAUUCCUUGUGAUAACGCAUGAGUAAUGAUGGAGAGAUCAAAGUGAACGAACCAGAAUGAUUAACCUAAGUAUAAAACACCACAGGAGAGGUGAUUACCCUAAAUAUGGAAUACGUGAACGUCAGGAAUUUAUUAGUUAAAUAAAUGGAUUUAAAAGUGUGUAUUAAAUUAAAAGAAAAAGAAUUAAUCAAAAUAAUACUGUUGUUAUUAUUACUAGUAUUAUUAUUUAAAAGAUUUAACUUUAAAUGUUAAGUCUUGACACAUGAUGUAUUGGUGAGGACUUUAUCAAAUUCCAAGAUGUAAAAAAAAU
rnacentral:lncRNA from 1 species